rnacentral:pre_miRNA from 1 species
CUGUGGUGCAUUGUAGUUGCAUUGCAUGGUCCUUAAAGCCGAGUGCAAUGUGUCUGCAGUGCAGUACAG